CGCGGCCUAUCAGCUUGUUGGUGAGGUAACGGCUCACCAAGGCUUCGACGCGUAGCGGGUCUGAGAGGACGAUCCGUCACAUUGGGACUGAGAUACGGCCCAGACUCCUACGGGAGGCAGCAGUGGGGAAUAUUGCGCAAUGGACGAAAGUCUGACGCAGCGACGCCGCGUGUGGGAGGAAGCCUUUCGAGGUGUAAACCACUGUCAGGUGGGAGGAACAUCUAUUGGGUGAAUAUCCCAGUAGACUGACGGUACCCCCAGAGGAAGCGCCGGCUAACUCCGUGCCGGCAGCCGCGGUAAGACGGAGGGCGCAAGCGUUGUUCGGAAUUACUGGGCGUAAAGGGCGGGCAGGCGGUCCGUUUAGUCUUCUGUGAAACUCCGGGGCUCAACUCCGGACAUGCAGGAGAAACUGGCGGACUAGAGACCGGUAGAGGCAAGCGGAAUUCCUGGUGUAGCGGUGGAAUGCGUAGAUAUCAGGAAGAACACCUGUGGCGAAGGCGGCUUGCUGGGCCGGUUCUGACGCUCAUCCGCGAAAGCGUGGGGAGCAAACAGGAUUAGAUACCCUGGUAGUCCACGCCGUAAACGAUGGGCACUAGAUGCCGGGUCUAUAGACGGAUUCGGUGUCGCAGCUAACGCAUUAAGUGCCCCGCCUGGGGAGUACGG
rnacentral:rRNA from 1 species